AGUCAAGGCCAAGAGGCGACUCGCAUAAGGUUUUUACACAACAUAAAUAUCCUUUAAAAAUUUCUUUACAAAGUGCAUAAAAUGAAUUGUGAUUUACUUGUAUUGCAAAAUGGUGACUGAAAUGUACACUAUGCUUUUGAUCUAAAUUGUUGGAAAUUUAAUGAUUUAUGUUUUAAUUGUCAGUAAAUGUUUGGUAAAUGUUUAAGAUAGUUUUGAAACCACAGU
rnacentral:misc_RNA from 1 species